AGUGAUUCUUCUGCCUCAGCCUCCUAAGUGCUGGGAUUACAGAACUGAAACUCACAACUAUUGAGAGAAUUGGAAUCCAUAAGAAUCUUUUUCUUGAAAGGUUCUUAGUUAUCCAGCAGAAGCUGCAUCCCUGGGCUAAGGCAGUGCUUCCUGAAGGUCAGCUCAGACACAACCAGUGACGUUGCCUGAAGAAACAUCCUGUCUGCGCAAAAGGAGAUUGCGCUUUGUCUACACAAA